UACGGAGGGUGCAAGCGUUAUCCGGAUUCACUGGGUUUAAAGGGUGUGUAGGCGGGUAUUUAAGUCAGUGGUGAAAUCUCCAGGCUCAACCUGGAAACUGCCAUUGAUACUAUUUAUCUUGAAUAUCGUUGAGGUUGGCGGAAUAUAUCAUGUAGCGGUGAAAUGCAUAGAUAUGAUAUAGAACACCGAUUGCGAAGGCAGCUAACUAAGCGAUUAUUGACGCUGAGGCACGAAAAGCGUGGGGGAUCAAACAGG
rnacentral:rRNA from 1 species